rnacentral:piRNA from 1 species
CACUCUAAAGGAAAGUUAGAAGC